UGGAGGGCAAGUCUGGUGCCAGCAGCCGCGGUAAUUCCAGCUCCAACAGCGUAUAUUUAAGUUGUUGCAGUUAAAAAGCUCGUAGUUGAAUUUCGGGAUUUGUCAGUUGGUCGGGCUUAACUGUCCGUAUUGACUUGAUGGAUUCUUACCUUCUGAAUAACCAGCAUGCUAUUAAUUUAGUGCGUUGGGGAAGCAGAUCUAUUACCUUGAAAAAAUUAGAGUGCUUAAAGCGAGCUAGUGCUUGAAUAGAUUAGCAUGGAAUAAUAAAAUAGGACGGCAUGGUUCUAUUUUGUUGGUUUCUAGGAUCACCGUAAUGAUUAAUAGGGAUAGUUGGGGGCAUUAGUAUUCAAUUGUCAGAGGUGAAAUUCUUGGAUUUAUUGAAGACUAACUUCUGCGAAAGCAUUUGCCAAGGAUGUUUUCAUUAAUCAAGAACGAAAGUUAGGGGAUCGAAGACGAUCAGAUACCGUCGUAGUCUUAACCAUAAACUAUGCCGACUAGGAAUCGGACGAUGUUAAUUUUAUAAUGACUCGUUCGGCACCUUACGGGAAAC
rnacentral:rRNA from 1 species